rnacentral:lncRNA from 1 species
UUAUAGUUGAAAAGUAAUAAAUAGUUUCUAAAUAACAUGAAGUAAAAUUUUGAAAUAAAAAAGAGAUUUAAUGUUAUAUACAAAGUAUGAAAUUUAUUGUGGAUGAAUAUAGUGGAGAAUUGUAAGUGGACAAUUGAAAGUAUUAGUGAAGAAUGGAUAUGAAUUGGAGAAUUAUAAUACUAAGGUUUGAGAAGGAAUCUUUGGAGUUUGGAUUUGUGUGAAGAAGUGUAGGAAGAAUGACCGUUAAAUGUAGAAGAUUCUAGUGAUUGGAUUAUGAAGUGAUUGCAUGUUGUCUUUUAAGUUAGUAUAGUAUUACAUAUUGUUGUCAUAAAUUAGGAGAAGAUAAGAGAUAGUGAAUAUGAAGAUGGAAUUAUCGAUUGUAAUAUUUGAUAGAAUAUGGAGGACAAUGUAGGAUUCUUAGAUAUUUUUAGUUGAUCAAGAGACAGUUAAUUGUAUAAUCCUAAUAUGUAAACUCAUGCGGAUAGUUUUUUCCUGUGUUCAAAUCUUCCUAUAUAGGUUUAUUCUAAUUAGAUUA